rnacentral:lncRNA from 1 species
UUGGAAUAGAUGCUCUCAAGUGAGACUGAUGACUCAGCUGUUUGCUCGUAAAGGAAAAAUAUAGUUGCCAGCAAAUAAUCUUCAGAACAUUAAAAACAAAAGAACAACAAACAAUCUCAAUAUCAUUUGACUUUCUGAUUUUAGAGGCCACAAGCAGAGACAGAAACAGGCAGAGGGAGAGCC